AAUAAAUUACAGUUUGACUGCAGCGGUGAGCUUCAACUUGGUGGAUCUAAUGAAACAGAAUGUUUACCAACUGGACAGUGGAGUGCCCCCAUCCCAACUUGCUCUGACACAUGUAAAGUUUCAGGAAUACCAGGCAACAUAGUCGUCACCCCACCUUUAUCAGGCCAUCCUCUUCCAACGGGACACAAGUUAACAUUUCGUUGCCGUCAAAGUAGACAAUUUAUUCAAGGGAAUGCAACAGUUGUAUGUUUGGCAAAUGGACAGUGGA